CCCUGCUCAAUGACAAUGUUAAAUAGCCGCAGUACCCUGACUGUGCAAAGGUAGCAUAAUCAGUUGGCUUAUAAUUGAAGUCUGGCAUGAAUGGGGUAAUGGAUAGUGGCUGUCUCUAAAUAAUAAAGGAACUUACUUAGCAAGUGCAAAUGCUUGCAGAUAAAUAAUAGACGAGAAGACCCUAGAAAUUUUUUAUAUAUGUAUCAUAUAUACACUCUAUUUUGCUGGGGCGGCAGAGUAACAUUAAACUUGCUUUAUUAUUAUUAGAAUUAUAUAAGUAAAAUUAAAUUACUCUAGGGAUAACAGCGUAAUUCUGCAGAGUUUGCGACCUCGAUGUUGGACUAAGGACACACGCGCUUAGAAGGCACUUGUUUUGGCUCUGUUCGAGCUUCUAUCCUUACGUGAUCUGAGUUCAGACCGGA
rnacentral:rRNA from 1 species